CACCCAACCCUGGCACUUGGAUUACCAACGGGAAACCCUUGCUUAUUCCCCCUAAAAUUCUUUUUCGGCCUUGUUAUUAAAUCAAAGAUUUAUUGGUCAAGGGACGGGGCUCGCGUUCGAUUAGGUAGUUUGUUAGGUAACGGCUUACCCAAGCCUACGAUCGGUAGCCGGACUGAGAGGUCGAUCGGCCACAUUGGGACUGAGAUACGGCCCAGACUCCUACGUGAGGCAGCAGUGGGGAAUAUUGGGCAAUGGACGCAAGUCUGACCCAGCGACGCCGCGUGAAGGACGAAGGCAUUCGUGUUGUAAACUUCUUUGGAGAGGGACGAAAUUGACGGUACCUCUCGAACAAGCCACGGCUAACUACGUGCCAGCAGCCGCGGUAAUACGUAGGUGGCAAGCGUUAUCCGGAAUUACUGGGUGUAAAGGGCGCGCAGGCGGCCUUGCAAGUCGGAUGUGAAAGAUCAAGGCUCAACCUUGACAGGUCAUCCGAAACUGUAAGACUUGAGUGUCAGAGGGGAAAGUGGAAUUCCUAGUGGAGCGGUAAAAUGCGCAGAUAUUAGGAGGAACACCGGUGGCGAAGGCGACUUUCUGGCUGACAACUGACGCUGAGGCGCGAAAGCGUGGGGAGCAAACAGAAUUAGAUACCCUGGUAGUCCACGCCGUAAACGAUGAUUACUAGGUGUAGGGGGUAUCGACUCCCUCUGUGCCACAGUUAACGCA
rnacentral:rRNA from 1 species